rnacentral:rRNA from 1 species
UACGUAGGGUGCGAGCGUUAAUCGGAAUUACUGGCGUAAAGCGUGCGCAGGCGGUUCUCCAAGUCCGUUGUGAAAGCCCGGGCCUCAACCUGGGAAUGGCAGUGGAAACUAGGGGACUUGAAUCUGGCAGAGGGGGGUGGAAUUCCACGUGUAGCAGUGAAAUGCGUAGAGAUGCGGAGGAACACCGAUGGCGAAGGCAGCCCCUGGGCU